rnacentral:rRNA from 1 species
UUGAUUUUGACUUUUAUCCUACAUGGAUAACUGUGGUAAUUCUGGAGCUAAUACAUGCAUAAAAGAUGUUUCUUUAUUGAAACAUUGCGUAUAUUAGUAUUAAAACCAAGCAUUCUUUUGAAUGUUUUGUGUUGAAACUGAAUAUAUCUGCUGAUCGUAUGGUCUUGUACCGACGACAUGUCAUUCAAGUGUCUGAUCUAUCAACUUUCUAUAUAAGUAUAUAGUACUUAUAUGGUUUUGACGGAUAACGGGGUAUUAGGGUACGACUCCGGAGAAAAUGCCUGAGAAACGGCGUUUACAUCCAAGGAAGGCAGCAGGCGCGAAAAUUACCCACUCUCAGUACGAGGAGGUAGUGACGAGAAAUGACAAGAUCUAUUCCUUCGGGGAUGGAUCAUUGGAAUGGUUUGAUAUUAAAAUCAUUAAAGAGUAUCAAUGAGAGGGCAAGUCUGGUGCCAGCAGCCGCGGUAAUUCCAGCUCUCAUACUGCAUUGAAUUGUUGUUGCGGUUAAAAAGCUCGUAGUUGGAUCUGUACAUGAUAGGUUAGUUUAUUCUUUACGGAAUAUAACUAAUACUAAAUGUUUUUUGUUAGAUUUUUUUAUGGUUCGUAAGGAUCAUAAAAUGUCUAACGAGUUUACUUUGAAUAAAUCAGAGUGCUCAAAACAGGCGUAAGCUUGUAUGGUUUUGCAUGGAAUAAUAGAACAUGACUAUGGUUCAUGUUUUAUUGGUUUUACUUACCAUAGUAAUGAUUAAAAGGAACAAACGGGGGCAUCCGUAUCGCAGGGCGAGAGGUGAAAUUCGUGGACCCUUGCGAGACGAACUACAGCGAAAGCAUUUGCCAAGAAUG